UACGGGGGGGGCAAGCGUUGUUCGGAAUUACUGGGCGUAAAGGGCUCGUAGGCGGCCAACUAAGUCAGACGUGAAAUCCCUCGGCUUAACCGGGGAACUGCGUCUGAUACUGGAUGGCUAGAGGUUGGGAGAGGGAUGCGGAAUUCCAGGUGUAGCGGUGAAAUGCGUAGAUAUCGGAAGGAACAUCAGUGGCGAAAGCGACUUCCUGGACCAAUACUGACGCUCAUGUGCGAAAGCGUGGGGAGCGAACAGG
rnacentral:rRNA from 1 species